ensembl:lncRNA
CUCAACCAUAAAAAAAGACAAAAUGGUCCCAUUCGCAACAACGUGGAUGGACCUUGAGGGUAUUAUGUUAAGCGAGAUAAGCCAGACAGAGAAAGACAAACACUGCAUGAUUUCACUCAUAUGUGGAAGAUUAACACAUGGACAAAGAGAACAGAUCAGUGGUUACCCGAGGAAAGGGGAUUGAGGAAUGGGCACAAGCGGGAAAGGGACACAUUUAUAUGGUCACUGACAAAUAAUAAUGUACCACUGAAAUUUCACAAUGUUAUAAACUAUUAUGACCUCUAUAAAAUAAAAAAUUGUUCUUGGGUAGGCUAAGACUAACCAGACACACUUCCCCCUGAACUUUCUCCUAUUCCCUGUCUAGCCAUGAAACUUGCUAUUUAUAUCCAGUGGGCAGGGUCAACCAUUAAAAUAACCCCACAUUUGUUUAGUCAAACUACUUGCUAUCAAUCAACAGUCCUUCAUCUGGAAAACGAAGACUGCAUUGGAGCAAACAAAACAUACUCCCUGACGAGAGCCACUCAAACUGGAAAGCAGUGUGCUAGUGCUUAGUGGCUAGGACUGUGAGCUGGUGUAUUAGUCACCUACCGCUGACAGGAUGUUGCAUAACAAACCAUCCCCCAAAACCCAGUGGCUUACCACAAGCACUUGUGGUUGACAAGUGUGGCUCAGUUUUAGGCUUCUGGUUAACUGGACCUGGCUCCAGAUUUCAGAUUGUGUUCCAGUUUAUUCCAUGGAUGUCCCACACUCUCCUUGGGUCAGCGACUACCAUGACCUUCUCAUGGCCGAUCACAGGACUGCAGGAGGGCAAGGCAAACACAAAACUGGUUAAAGCCGCUGCUCACAUCAUAUCCACUAAUAUUCCAUUGGCUCAAGCAAGCCCAACAUGAAACGGGUGGAGAAAUAUAUUUCAUCUGCAGUGAGAGGAUUCUGCAAAGUCCUAUAAUGAAGGUGUAUGCAUGUAAUCCUGUUAAAGGGAGGUAAAGAAUUGGGACCAAUAGUCUAAUCCAAAGCAGCAAACGACAGUCCCUGGGCUAAAUCUGGCUGCUGCCUGUUUCUGUAAGUAGUUUUAUCGGAAUCUCACAAUGUUAUAAACUAUUAUGACUUCUAUAAAAGUGGUACAUUAUUAUUUGUCAGUGACCAUAUAAAUGUGUACAGUUGAGAUAGUUGUAGAUGCACGUGCACUUGUGAGAAAUAAUAUUGAGGGAUCCCUUGUACAUUUCACCCAGUUUCCCCCAAUGGUAACCUACCACCUGUUUUUGUACAGCUCUUGUGCUAAGAAUGGUUUUCAGAUUUUUACACGGUUGAAAGACAAAAAAUCAAAAGCAUUUUAUGAUGUGAAAAUUAUAUGAAAUUCAAGUGUGUGUCCAUAAAUAACAUGAGACUGGAACACAGCCAUGCCCGUUCAUUUACCUUAUUAUGGCUGCUUCCGGGCUGCAAUGGCCGAGUUGGGUAGUUAAGACAGAGACCAUGGGCAAAGCCUAUAAUACAUACGAUCUAGGCCUUUACAGGAGAGACUGGCCCACCCCACCCUAACCUGCCACAGUUGGCACUCACUGUAAUGACAAAGCUCGCCUUUGCUUUGUGAUUACUCUUUGCCAGACACUCUUGCAAGUGCCUUACCUACCGUAAGUCACAUAAUCAUCGCAAGAACUGUAUGAAGAGCUCUUCUCCCCAUUUUAUGCAUGAGUCAGCUGAGGCCAUGGAACUUGCCCAAGGUCAUAUAGGUAAUGAGUGUGGUGGAGCCCGGCUUCAAACUCAACAACCCAUCCAAGAUCCUGCAGCGUUAACCUUGGAGCUGUUCCAGGGCUCUCAGCAAUCCAUAUCCCAGUGUCACUGGGGGCAGUGGAUUCUAAGCGCUCUGUGUACUGCGCAGCAGAAGAAUUUAAACAAAAAAUGCAUCAGAGGAGAGUGCCAACAACCCCUGAGCAGCCCUUAGCAGGGCCUUUCCAGUCUCUGCUGGAAUUCUCCCCAUCCUUUAAAGCCUCUUUCAAAUGCCGCCUCUUAACCCCGCCCCAACCAGAAGUGCUUUCUCUUUCUUCUUUCUCAAAGCAAACAGUUGCUCUCAUCACAUUCUGCUUUGGGGUUUGUGGUGUUUUGCACAUCUCACUCCCCUGCCGUGGUAAACUCCACUGGGCAUACAGACCCUGUGAUGCUCAAAUCUGUGCUCGGUUGAGUGGGCACAGAGUAUCCUCCUGAUUUCUGUGUGAAGUGUGUGAGUCACCAACAUGGUUAUGUGACAGUCAGGAAUUGUGAAACUUUGCCUCUGGUGUCUACGUGGUUUUGUGGUUUGAGGUAGCAAAGCCCUCCUGCUGCUGAGUGGCUGUUGGUAGGAAGGUUGGAGAAGACAUUGGAAAGAUGAGCCAUUUUCUGGUCUUGAAAGUGUUCCGCUCUUCAGAACCGUCAGUAUUGUACAGUAACUUUUUCUUAUUGCAAAAGCAAUAUGCGGUCGCUGAGGAAAUGUAGAAAAGCAAAAUAAAAACUAAAGACCUAUAAUCUAGCCAUUGCAAGAUCUUGCUAUUAGGGGCACCUCCAACCCAAAGGCAGGUAAGGAACUUUUCCCUGUUGUAAAUGCCGUGAUGAAAAGCUUUGUGGAGAACUGUGGAAUGCAUCCUUAUUUCCUGAAGAUGAACUUCAAAGAUAGCAUGGUAGUUGAGAGCCCAAAGGCUGUGGUCAGGAUCCUGGUUUGAAUUCUGGCUCCAUGAUUUUAUUACUUGCAUGACCUCGAUCGUAUUACUUGAGACCUCUAUGCCUCAUUUUUCUAACCUAUAAAAUGGAGAUAAUCAUAGUGCCUACUUCACGGAGUUGUCGUGAAGAUUAAAUGUUAAUCUAUGUAAAGAGCUAGAAGCGUGCCUGGCACAUAAUAAGCCCCAGAUCAACAGCUAGCGAACUAUAAUUUACAUUUUUUUUUUUUAUAAUUUACAUUUUUAAGUGAGUAGUUAAUACCCAACAGUUCUCAAUUACCCAUGCCUGCUAGGAUAUACAGGAGUUUCCUUAAUCCUCAAAUCAUUUAUAUGUGACUUGGGAGUUAAUGACGUAAUUUUUGUGUUGGAUUUACUUUGUUAAUAGUAGUUGCUGUUGCUCAUAGUUGAAUUAUGACAAACUUACACACAUCUCGUCCUUUAUCCUCUUCUCUUUGGUCAAAUAAAAAAUGCCUGUACUUUCAAAAUAAGUGGACACAAUAGAAUAGAAAUCAUCUAUUCAUUACAAACAAAGUUUAAUUCCACCUCUGGAGACUGGGGAAAGAGAGUUCUCAGGCUGUGCUAGGAGGAGAGUUAUUGGAGAGCAAUUUAACGAUAAUUACCAAAAUAUAAAAUGCGAAUACCCUUUGACCCAGCAAUUCUGCUUAUAGGAAUUUCUCCCCUGGAAUUAAUUUGAUUGAGUAUGCAAAUGAAUAUGUACAAGGACUCACCUUUCAGAGUAGCAUUGUCCAUGAGAGCAGUCAGCAGAAUACAACUGAAAUUUCCAUGAGCACCGGCAGAGCCGGUCAAAUUAUGAUACAGCCAUGCAGCGGAUGACCACACAAAUCUUUUUAUUUUUUUAAGGCACAGUUGACGCAUGUGUGUUGACCUGGAGAGUGGUUGAAGGUCAAUUAUUAAGUAAACAAAAAGCCAGUUGCAGAGCCCUCUGUCCAGUAUAAUCCCGUUUGAUGUUUAGAAGAGAAGGUAUGAGCAUGGAUAUUGUCUCGAAGGCUAUGGAAUAACUGGAAUGCUGGCCAUCUCUGCAAACCGAAAAGAGUUCAUGAUGCAGUUUGUGACUUGCACAGAACCUCUUCUUUCCAAAUGUGAGCCUGGAACAAGUGAUCACCUUCAUGGAUUUCUUUGUUAGUCUCUGGUAUUCUAACUUAGGAUAAGGUAAGAAUUCAGUCAAUUAGUGCAGUAGUCAUUUCAGCAGCUGACUUUGUUUCUGAAAAAAACAAAAAGAAAAGAAAAUAGAAAUUUCAGACAUAGAGUGGAUCUAUUCCCUAAUUGCCGUCUGUCACUUAACCCCUACUUUUCUUGUGCUUUACCUUAAUGCAAUAUUCCCAAAGGACGUUACCACAUCUCUUAAGAACAGAUGAUACUGUGCUGGGGACAAUACAAUGUAUUAUCACUAUUUCACACCAAAGGAAAAUAUUGAUCUUAAUUUUCACAAAACUAUU